rnacentral:lncRNA from 10 species
AGCAGACCCGCUCAACUUCAUCCUGGGUUGAGGCGGAGGAGAACUUCCAGAAUUAUGGCGAAGUCCGGGCUGAGGCAGGACCCGCAGAGCACAGCUGCAGCCACUGUGCUAAAGCGGGCAGUAGAACUAGAUUCGGAGUCGCGGUAUCCGCAGGCUCUGGUGUGUUACCAAGAGGGGAUUGAUCUGCUCCUGCAGGUUCUGAAAGGUGAGCAAUGAGCCAAGGCGGGGAGGACCUGAGGAAAAGGAGCUGGUUCCUGCUGUGUCUGGGGUGAAGUGAAAGAGUUAAAAAUGAUUUUUCCACACCACGAAGAAGCAGUUAAAUACAGAAGGUACCAAAGAUAAUACUAAGAGAUGUAAUCUCAGAGAAAAAAUUUCCAAAUACAUGGACAGAGCGGAAAACAUAAAGAAGUACUUGGACCAAGAAAAAGAAGGUAAAGAGGUUGUUUUAGAAAAUGCAUCCAUAAACAACUGUGACUGUCCAUUCACCCAAUGUUUCUGGCUCCUGCCCUUUGGAGCUCUGUGUGGUCUGGACCAGUUGUCCCUGGGAGCUUACAGGAUUUAAUCUGUAUUUCCACUCCCAUACAGGAGUUGUUCUUAAUUUUUUGUUUGUUUGUUUGUUUUGGCUUUUGUUUUUAGUUGGGGGUGGGAAUAUCAGACACCCCUUUGAACAUCUCAUGAAAGCUAUACUUACUGGAGAAUGUUCCAUGCCAUUUUUAAGGGGUUCACAAAUCCCUAUGAAGCUUAUGUGUGGACCCUAUGUUAAGAAAUACUACAGGGAAUACUGAAUGUAAAUUGUGUAUUUUAUUUAUAUUUCCCUUUAUGAAAUGACCAAAAUCAUGAAAGAAGCUAAAGAAACUCCUGGGAUUUCUCUCAGAUUUUGUUGUGAAUCAAAACACCUCAGGAGUUAAGCAUUCCUAAUGAUUAGAGGUCAGGUAGGUAUUGUUCCCUAUUAUUAGUUCCCUACUCCUAAGCAUCCAGUUUACAAAUGUCUGUAAAUGG